rnacentral:snoRNA from 1 species
AUGGAGGUGAUGAUCCUUUCCCCAAAUGAUCGACUUUGAUCAUACUGUGUGUUUUAUUUUCAAGAAAACCAGAUUCACAAUACCCAAUACUGGACCAU